rnacentral:rRNA from 1 species
AGAGUUUGAUCCUGGCUCAGAACGAACGCUGGCGGCGUGGAUAAGGCAUGCAAGUCGAACGCGAAAGGGACCUUCGGGUCCUGAGUAGAGUGGCAAACGGGUGAGUAACACGUGGGCAACCUUCCUCCAGGAGGGGGACAACCCUCGGAAACGAGGGCUAAUACCGCAUAACAUCGGAGAAUCUCAUGGUUUUCCGAUCAAACGGUGGGGAUCUUCGGACCUGCCGCCUGGAAAUGGGCCCGCGCCCGAUUAGCUAGUUGGCGAGGUAAAGGCUCACCAAGGCUUCGAUCGGUAACCGGCCUGAGAGGGCGAUCGGUCACACCGGAACUGAGACACGGUCCGGACUCCUACGGGAGGCAGCAGUGGGGAAUCUUGCGCAAUGGGCGAAAGCCUGACGCAGCAACGCCGCGUGGAGGAUGAAGGCCCUUGGGUUGUAAACUCCUGUCGGUUGGGAAGAAAUCGUUCGGGGCUAAUACCUCCGGACGUUGACUGUACCAGCAAAGGAAGCCCCGGCUAACUCUGUGCCAGCAGCCGCGGUAAUACAGAGGGGGCCAGCGUUAUUCGGAAUUAUUGGGCGUAAAGGGCGCGUAGGCGGCUUUGCGUGUCUUUCGUGAAAUCCCUCGGCUUAACUGAGGACGUGCGGAAGAAACUGCAGAGCUGGAGUCCGGGAGAGGGGGGUGGAAUUCCCAGUGUAGCGGUGAAAUGCGUAGAUAUUGGGAGGAACACCGGUGGCGAAGGCGGCCCCCUGGACCGGUACUGACGCUGAGGCGCGAAAGCGUGGGUAGCAAACGGGAUUAGAUACCCCGGUAGUCCACGCCGUAAACGAUGGGCACUUGGUGUCGCGGGUAUCGACCCCUGCGGUGCCGAAUCUAACGCAUUAAGUGCCCCGCCUGGGAGUACGGUCGCAAGGCUGAAACUCACACGGAAUUGACCG